GCCGAUUGAUCUUGUAUAUAUCAGUUGGAAAGUCUGAAGUUUAUUGUCAUCAAUAAGAUCACAAACAACAACCAACCUAUUCCUCAUCGCUCAAGGUUAAAAUUUUUGAUCCACCUUUCUGGUACACCCCAAGUUUGCUUUUUGUUGUUUUCCUUACCAUGGUGAAGAAACGGAGAAGACUUAGGAGGUUUUGCUUUCUUAAAUUAAAUGGGGAUAUAUGUUUUUGUUAUCAAGAAAAGAGUAAUGGUUGUGUAUUUAUUUGUAACAAAAUUUUUAAUAUGUAAUUUAUAAUACAGUUUGUUCAAUA